CGAAAAGCGAACAUAUCUGCACCGGCACGCGCGACCCACCCGAGUAGCUUGUAACCAAAUCACAAAAGUAUCGCGUCAGAUGCGAGUAAAUAUUCCAUUUACCAGCAUCACACUGAAACUGGUACAAGAAAUCACAGCUUAAUCUCGACCAAUCAGUGCACCGUCCGUUGAUGACGCAAAAACUCUCGACCAAUCAGGAUUAGCGAAGUCGGUUGAAGGGAUUUUCUGAAACGCGGAGGUGGCAGUUUUGACUUUUCUGCGGACUGACGACCAGAAAACGCGACGCUUAUAAAUUUGUUCACUCACAGUUCGAGCUCCCUUAGACACCAGCCACUUUUUGCGGAAAGCUACCCUUACGAGUUUUAAAAUUCAUCCAAGAAUUAUGGAUUCCAGGCGGUUUACUCUGGCUGUUGUACUUAUCUUAGGAAUGGUCUGCGGCUCGCUUGGACGGGCCUGGCUCAAUGAUGAGGGUACUCGCGGAGAAAGACUUCCACAACUCCUAAAAGAAUGGCUUGAUGACUCAUACCUCCGACAGGUGGCAGCACAGCAAGAGCUAAAAAGGGACGAGGGUGUCAGCAAAAGACAGAAGUCAGUGGAUCGGCAGUGCCUUGUCAACCUCGUCGCCUGCUACGGCAAGAGGAGGAGGAGGUAGAGGUCCUAACCUUCACCUUUGACCUUUUUUUUACAAUGGAUGAAAAAAACGUGAAUGUUGUGCCGAAUGAUGCAAGUUCUGAUCGCGUUCAAAGCCCUUUCUUACAUAUACGAUAUCCGCUUGGAAAGAGAUAAUUCGACGAAGGAAGUGUACGGACCGGAAAUCUACCACUCGAUGUUAACGUACCGAAAGUAUACGUUACAUGUCAACACGUGCCGAUAAACCGAGAGGAAUGAUGCAGGUCUAAUAGGCUACAUAUAAUGUAAUUCAUCAAACAGAAAACGCGGAAAACAAAAUGCUGUGCACUGCUGACUUCCAACAACUAGAAGUAAUGCGCUGUGGGUAGAGUACUACUCUUGCACGGUGUCACCUAAAGCCGGUCAACUAUGACACCGGCUGCCCAGGGCUGUGUGACAUUACUAUUUGUGAUCACACUAUUACAGUUUAGUGACAAGAGGUCAGCUAAGUACCUUUGGCCAGAUCUGCCUGAAAAAAACUAUCGACGUCGAAUCGCCCUUUUUUUAAGGUAUUUUGAAGCGACAUGUGCCGGCUGAUUCAAACCAAGGCGAAACUGAACUCUCGAACAGUGAUAUGACGUUAUUUUGCCCCGUAAAUGACAACGCAGUAGAAAUAAUUCACCCCUAGCCCCAAUACACGGUUUAUUGUCUUUUAACAACGCCCGCUGGCACCUACCCUAAACUCUCAUUGUCCUAGUGCAAGGGUCAUCGGGGCAAGUCUUGAUAUCAUCGACCCCCUUGAAACAGCUUUCACGGGGGUAGAUAAACCGAACCUGGCAAGGACAGAGAAACGUAUUAGAUCCUCAUGUACAUUAGCGUGCUUACUCAAAAUUCACCAAUCUAAGAUCGUUGUGGAAUAUUCAUGAAACCGGCAAUACCAUACACAUGGUUGGUUGAUGCCAUUUAACAAGUUCAAUAUGGCAAAACAACUAUCAAUGGCUUGUCGACUCCAGAGUCUUUCAAAUAAAUUUCAUUUGAGAGACUCUGUCGACACAAAGUUUUUUGAUAGUCAUGACGUCAUGUUAUCACUUGACAUUUGUCAUCAAGGAGGUUGUCUUUGAUCGGCGAAAGAGGAGUUUAUGAACUGUUCAUAAAUGGUUUUGAGCAUAAUCAGUGCGAAAAAAAAGUAAACUUAUUUCUAAAGUUUGCAUCAUUUGGACGGGAUGUAAUUUUCAUAAAUGUAAAUAAAAGGUGUUUAAUGUUUAUAAAAAUAA